rnacentral:rRNA from 1 species
CCUACGGGUGGCAGCAGUGGGGAAUAUUGCACAAUGGGGGCAACCCUGAUGCAGCAACGCCGCGUGGGUGAAGGAGCGUUUCGGCGCGUAAAGCCCUGUCAGCGGGGAAGAAGAAAGACGGUACCCGCCCAAGAAGCCCCGGCUAACUACGUGCCAGCAGCCGCGGUAAUACGUAGGGGGCGAGCGUUAUCCGGAAUUACUGGGUGUAAAGCGCUCGUAGGCGGUAUGUCAAGUCAAGGGUGAAAUCCCCGCGCUCAACGUGGGAACUGCCUUUGAAACUGGCAAACUGGAGUGUGUGAGAGGAUAGUGGAAUUCCAGGUGUAGGAGUGAAAUGCGUAGAUAUCUGGAGGAACAUCAGUGGCGAAGGCGACUAUCUGGCACAUAACUGACGCUGAGGAGCGAAAGCGUGGGUAGCAAACAGGAUUAGAUACCCUAGUAGUC